rnacentral:lncRNA from 1 species
AAGGGAAUCCUCCUGUUCUCAUCUUUGUUUAUUGUUUAACUAAUUAAUAGUGGUAAUCUUAUACUACAUGAUAUCCGAAUAAUGCUUUUAUAAUCAAGAAUUGGCUUUUAUAGAGCUUUAUUAGCUAACACAACGUCUCUAUCAGUUAGUUCCAAUUUAAUUGUUUGAAUAUCAUGUGAAGGUCUAGUAACUUUGUAUUAGCUCCAUACUACUAUGUGUUUUGUAUUUUGAUAUUGCUAAAUGAACUUGCACUUAGUAUGUCAACUAUUACU